rnacentral:rRNA from 1 species
CGCGCAUUGCGCAUGACAGGCGGUCUGACAGCAGCGACGCCGCGUGAGGGAUGACGGCCUUCGGGUUGUAAACCUCUUUCAGUAGGGACGAAGCGAAAGUGACGGUACCUGCAGAAGAAGGACCGGCCAACUACGUGCCAGCGCNCGCGGUAAUACAA